rnacentral:piRNA from 1 species
UGACAUGUUCCUUCAGUGCCCUGUACUGC